rnacentral:rRNA from 1 species
GACGGGGCCGCACAAGCGUGGAGCAUGUGGUUUAAUUCGAUGAUACGCGAGGAACCUUACCUGGGCUCAAAUGUAUGUUGACGUAUUCUGAAAGGGAUACUUCUUCGGACAAUAUACAAGGUGCUGCAUGGUUGUCGUCAGCUCGUGCCGUGAGGUGUCGGGUUAAGUCCCAUAACGAGCGCAACCCCUAUCAUUAGUUGCCAUCAGGUCAAGCUGGGGACUCUAAUGAAACUGCCUACGCAAGUAGUGAGGAAGGUGGGGAUGACGUCAAAUCAGCACGGCCCUUACGUCCAGGGCUACACACGUGCUACAAUGGCCGGUACAAAGGGCGGCUACCUGGUGACAGGAUGCUAAUCUCAAAAGCCGGUCUCAGUUCGGAUCGGAGUCUGCAACCCGACUCCGUGAAGCUGGAAUCGCUAGUAAUCGCGCAUCAGCCAUGGCGCGGUGAAUACGUUCCCGGGCCUU